AUGUGGCUCUAGAUCAAGGUUAACCUGAGACUGCAGGAGGACUGUCCCUGUGCUCGCCCCUCCCCCUUUGAUUGCUUUCAGGUGGGGAAGCUGGAGUAGGCAUGAGUUAAUUAAAUGCAAUUCUUCUCAAGAAUUAGCCAAAUACUCGCCCCCACAUGAAGGAGUGAUAAGGGGUAACAGCUCAUCUCAUUCCUAGUCACACCCAGGUUUUUCUAAAAACAUGGGAGCAGCGGGUUCUAAAAACAUGGAUGUACCCAUUACAUUUUACUCCACAGAGGUCUCUCAGACCUAAUCACCUAUUGUAGUGGAAAGAGCACACCCAGCAGAGUUGAAUAGGACAAAUAUGUAUUGUUGAGGCUAUUCAUUUUGUCCACCUUUUCAGCAGAAACGUGUGGUAAGCAUGUCACCUAUAUAGCUGAGGGCUGCACAGGCAGAAAGUAUAACUCACUGGACACUGAGUGGACUUUAAAAUAAAACAAAGUCAAGUUUAUUUAUGUACAAGAGGCUUAAAGGUUUCUCUCUGACAAAGCUGUGCUUUACACGCCUCAUGGUUUCUAUAACAACGAGAUCAAGACUUGGCUACAGAGUAUAUUAUGGUUUGAAGUAAGGUUUUAUGACAACGCAGACUUCACCCUCUGGUAGACACUCUAUACAUAUGGAUAGAUAGAUCAACGGUUUGACUGAGGUAGCCACAUUUGGAUUGUCUAUCACUUCAAGACACCAAUUCUGUCCUCCCUGGAACCCACCAGUCCCAGAACAGACCCUAUCUCUCUAGAGAUCUAGCCCUGUCCGUCCCUAUCUCCUGGCUUCUCUAAGCCCUCUCUAACUCUGGUGCUUUCAAGCCCGAUCUAACCCUCUGAGCUACCAGUUAGACAGUUUAACUGCCACUCUCUGCUCCAUUCUAAAGCCCCUCCCUCAGGAAUCCCACCUGAAGCGGGGUUCCUUGGGCUUCAGAAGAUGAUUGACAGUUCUGGUGCUUCCACCAACCAUCACAACUUUCCUUUAAAUAAUAAUAAAAGGGAUAAAUUCCUGAAAUGUGGCUUUGAUCUAAGGCCUUGCUUUUCCAUUCAGCAGUGCUCAUUAUUUUGUAAUGGAUAUGCUGUGAGGGAGCUGAGGGAGUUUUGUGGGGAUAGCUCUCCAGCUUAUUGCACAAUGGAAAAUAGGAAGGUGACAUAUUUCCGUGUGUGUGUGUUCUUUAGGUCUGCUGUGUGUUAACAGGUUAGGUUAAGCAAUUUGAAAGAUUUUCCCUGAUACAUUUGGCAGCAUAAUGUUUUUUCAACCCACUUUUUAAUAGAAAAAAAAUUGAGAGUGGUAGGUGCCAUCUUAGAUGAUGCAUUCUGCUUCUCUCGCCCAAACCAGAGGGAAUGCCUCUUCUAAGAUGGUGCUACUUGUGAUGCAUUUGUGCUCCCACUAGGCUCGCCACAGUGUUGUUCCCCCUGUUUUUUUGUACUGCAGGUCUGGAACUUCCAAGGGAAAUAACUUCUUGGUGUAUGUAAACUUUCAAAAAUAUGAGGUACAGGCCCUGCUAAAAUGCAAGUGGGAUGUAAAUGUGGGGACAGUAGGAUAUGUUUGGGCACUGAAGAUGUACUUGUUCUGGAUGUUCUCUGGAUGUCCUUGGACAAGGCUUUGUUUGCAUUUUAAAUUUUAUUGCCUUUUACAAUAACUUUACAUUCAAAUUAAGUAAAUAUUGACUUCCCGCUUACCUAUCUGUGCAGUUCACGUUAACUAUACAUAUAAACCAUUGCUAUAAUAAAUCAAAACAUAGAUACUCCACAUUUCUACUCAAUUACCCAACCCAACCUGCUGUUAUUACUAUAUUUCAAACCCUGCUGAAAAGUCCGUAUUAGAAAAAUAGUUCUUUAAGUAAAGUAAAAAUGGUUCCCAAUCUUCUUUGAAAGAUUCCAAAUUUUCAUCUCUUAUACAGGUGAAACUCGAAAAAUUAGAAUAUCGUGCAAAAGUUCAUUAAUUUCAGUAAUGCAAAUUAAAAGGUGAAACUGAUAUAUGAGAUAGACGCAUUACAUGCAAAGCGAGAUGUCAAGCCUUAAUUUGUUAUAAUUGUGAUGAUCAUGGUGUACAGCUCAUGAGCACCCCAAAUCCACAAUCCCAGAAAAUUAGAAUAUUGUGAAAAGGUUCAACAGUCUAGGCUCCAGGUGUCCCACUCCAAUCAGCUAAUCAAUCCAUAACACCUGCAAAGGGUUCCUGAGCCUUUAAAUGGUCUCUCAGUCUGGUUCAUUAGGAAUCACAAUCAUGGAAAGACUGCUGACUUGACAGUUGUGCAGAAAACCAUCAUUGACACCCUCCAUAAGGAGGGAAAGCCUCAAAAGAGUCUGAAGGCACAUACCACACUUCCAAUGCUGAAGCUAAGUAGGACUGGAUCUUAGCACUGUCUGAAUGGGAGAGCAGCAGAGAUCUGCGUGUCCAGUUCACACAUCUGAUAAGCAUGCUUGCCGCUGAAAGCACUUGUCACCAGCUGGUCUGCAAAGUAGAAUUUCUUACUUGAAUCCAAAGGUCUCACUGCAUCAGUAGGAGUUCCUUCCACUAGCAUUAUGUGUGUGCAUAAUUUGAGAAUCACUUCUCUGGGGGUCAUUUACAGGAAGUACAGGGGCCUACAAGUGGGAGCAGGAAUGUAAGCUUUCUUGCCUAGGGACGGGUUAACAGCAGUACCUUCUGUGGGCACGAGAGAGUCUUUGGAUCCAAGAAUCCAAGGAUUAGUCUCUAAGAUGUAGAAGUUGUUGCUUUUGGAGGAGACAAGAGAUGAAGUGGUUAAAAUGACUAUGAUUAAAUGGGCUCAAGAUGUGGGUCAUAAUAUAGAAAUGGCUGCUUGGGAAAAAUUAUGGAAAACUGAUUUAAAGUUUACUGCAUGUUAUACUUUAAAAGAAAAUCAUUAAAGAUGAUGUAUAGAUGGUAUCUGACACCAAAAAAGUUAGCAUUAAUGUAUAAAAAUGUUUCAAACAAAUGUUGAAAAUGUGGACAAUGUGAAGGAACUUUUUUCCAUAUGUGGUGGUCAUGCAGGAAGGCAAAGGCUUUUUGGGAUAUGAUAUACUGUACAAUGAGUUGAAGAAAAAAAUUUAAAUGACAUUUCCUAAGAGGCCAGAAUCCUUCCUGUUGGGAAUAACUCAAGGAGAGUUUUUCCAGAAGAAAUUUAACAUUUUUUAUGUAUGCAAUCAGGGCGCCUAGGAUAGUAUACGCGCAGAAAUGGAAAGACACUAAAAUGCCCUCCAAAGAAGACUGGUUGAUAAAAAUUUUGGAAUAUGCUGAGAUGGCAAAGCUUACAGCACUUACAGGUGGGCUUCUUCUGAGCUUUAAGGGAUGGAAGACUUGUCUACGGGGAAUGAGAUCCCCCUGCCUGACAUCUUCAGCCUGGAUGUCCGUGCCAUUCAUCUCGUGGUUUUUGAUGAGAGGAGCGGCAUGACAUUUGGCAUGGACAGCUGCAGUUGAUACGGCACAUGGACAGGAAGUUUGUGCCUUUCCAGAAGAUACCGUUUGGCCGAUACCUUCAAGCCUAUGACAGAACUUGAAUUUUCCCAAUGGCAGUAGAUUCAGGACAGACUGCUUUGCACAAUGCAUCUUUACAUUGUGGGAUUCCCUUGGAGAUGUCAGGAGUGCCACUGGCUUCGGUGAAGAAUGGCACAUAUUAAAGGAAUAUAGGUUUGUCGAUAGACAUUUUAGCUUUGGGGAGCACCGUGAAUGAAUGCAAGUAUCCCUCUGAGGGCUGGAUGCUGAGGAAAAACAGAAGAAAUAACAGGGAAAGGUGGAGAGAACUUUCCUCAGCUUGUGCCCCACUUUAUCUUCAGAUGCAAGUCACUGAAAAAAAGAUAGGAUUUCCCUGCUUAGUUGCCUAUGUGCCGUGAGCUUUUGGAGUUGCUUCUUCUGAUUGGGUGGAGUUGUUUCAGAGAAUUGGAAUAGAAAGGGACAGACUGUACUUGCUCCUUAUGUGUCAUAUGUACAACGGUGCUAGUGGUUGGUUGGUGCAUUGGGUAUUUUUGCAUGUCACCUUAAUGUUACUAGUUGGAAAGAAAGUCACUUCUGCUGUAAUGGAUUUACUGGCCUGGAUCAUGUGACUUUCUUUCUUUCUUGGCAGGCUAGAACUGCUGAUGGAUGGGCUAACAGUCCAAAUUCCAGAACAGCCAUCCCAGUUCCUAGAGGAAAGGUCUCUCUCUCAAUUUAUUGAAUGUAGGUACAGAAAAGCUCAGUUUUUCUUUCAGCUUAGACGUGAUUAAGUGACCACUAGGGGCAAUGGGAGUAGAGGUAGCGAGUGAGGGUCUCCUUACCUGUCUCUACUCUAUGACCCCAAGACUGACUCUUCAGCACUUCCUGUGCUGAGUCACAAUCCUUCCCUUCCUCCUAGAGAGCAGAUGGAAACAUCUUUUCCUCUCCUUAACUAUUCAUCAUGUAGUCCUUUAGAUUAGUUUCAGGUCUUUCCUAUCCAAGUGUACUUAACCAAUAAAUACUUAGUACUGAGUUCUAUAAGGAUCUCCAUGUGUAUUUUCUCUAAAUAGCUGCAACAACUAAAACAUCCUCUGCUACCCACUCUGUAACUGGAGUGUGUGCCCAUUCCUUAGUGCUCUGCUGUCCUAUCCACUGGGGUAAAAAUUAAUUACCUUUAACAGGGCUAUGGGCCCAGCUGGAGCUGUAGCAGGCUUCUAGGCACAAGCAGACCUCCUUUCCCCCCUUUCCUUCAAAGGUGCAGCUGAGUUAGUCUGAAACUGCAGCAUGGAUGCUGAGACCACAGCCUGCUCAGGAAUGGCUUCCCUUUCCCCCAAACUGGAUGGGAGCAACUACGAAUCCUGGGCUCUGAAGAUGAAAGUGAUCUUCAUGACAAAGGAAUCUUUGAGGUCCUCACGGAGGAACAGCCAACCUAAGAUGAAGCUGCUUGAGCCUUGUGGGACAAGAAAAACCAACACGCAUAUGGCCACCUAAUUUUGAGCAUGAGCAAUGAUUUAUUGAUUUAUGUGCGGGAAACAGAUUUAGCCUCAGAAGCAUGGGACAGAUUGAAAAAGCAAUGCAGCCAAGUCUGCAAAUGCAGCUCUCCUCCUGUAUACAAGACUAUGCCAGACCCAGCUGCAGGAAGAUGGAGACUUUGAAGUCUUCUAAGAUAGUGAGUAUCUUAGAGACUAGCAGGCUUCUGGAGAAUCUCACAUGUGAAUUGAAUAAUGUUAUUCUAAUCAGGGCGAUCCUUGCCUAAGAGCUUUGACCCGCUAGAGCUUUUGACCCGCCCUUGAGUCAUCUCAGAGUCAACUAGAAAUUGAACAUGUAGUAUCAAGUCUGAGGAACUUUAAUGCGAGACUGCAACAGGAGAAAUCUGAAACUGAGUCCACUCUGGCUCAUUUCAGUAAAUGACUUGUUAGCAUAUCCAAAGAGCAGGUGCUAAUUUGUUUAUUGAAUUGGACAAGAACUACAAAUCUGAUGUAACUCUCACAGAUUCAAGAAAUAUAAGUGUAGCUGGGAAAGGGAGAAGAAAGAUCCUCUGAGUUUCCAGUACUGAAGUCUAUGAGGUUAAGACAAAUGACGCCCUUUUUGUAGCAGAGAUGCAGGUCAACUUGAUUUCAGUUGGGCAUGGACUCAAGAAGGGGUGCCAAGCAGUCUUUGAGAAUGAAGCAUGCUACAUCUCUAAAGGUGAUGAGUUAAUUAUGACUGCUCACAUGUGUGGUGAUGGCCUUUUUGAAGUAGACUGUGCUAUUGCACAAGCAAAUGUGGCAAGCACAUGCCAACACAAAAAUUGUGAUUUCUUGUGGCACCUAAAACUGGGGCACCAAAAACUGAUUCCCAAAUGAAAGAACUAACUUAGGGGGUUCAAUAUAAGUGAAUGUCCAGAAAAGGCCAGCAGAUGUCAGUGUUGCAUUAAAUCAACACUGGAGAUUGCAUCAAUCAACAAGGGAGCGAUGCCGACCUUUCCUACAAAGGGAAGUGUGGAGUCAGUGAAAGUUCUGGAGCUUGUUCACUCCGACAUUUGUGGCCUGUUACAGGUGCAUUUCGCUGGAAAGAAGUACAUUUUGACUUUCAUUGAUGACCUCUCCAGAUUUUGCUGUGUAUAUACUCUGAGAGAGAAAAGCCAAGUGUUUGAGAAAUUUAAAGAGUAUGUUGCACUGGUGAACAACAAAUUUGGAAGGAAGCCCCAGUGUUUGAGGUUAGAUAAUGGAGGGGGAUAUAUGUCAAACCAGAUGAAAGAAUUAUGAAAUCAAAUGGUAUCUCUCACCAGACUACCCCUCCAUUUACUGCAUAGCUCAAUGGGGUAGCUGAGAGAAAGAACUGGUCUCUAGUGGAAAUGACCAAAUGUCUGCUGCAUGAAGCCAAUUUAGCAGACAGGUUCUGGGGAGAAGCAGUGAUGACUGCUAACUACCUGCAAAACAGAUUGCCAAACAAGGCAACUGAUAAGACACCCUUUGAACUUUGGCAUAACAGAAAACCUUCCCUGAGAUGCAUCAGAGUAUUUGGGUCAAAGGCUUAAGCGUAUGCUCCUAAGGCAAAAAGGACCAAGCUCAAUUGCAGAUGUGAACUAGGAGUUUUUGUUGGCUAUGAAUCUAGAGAAUACAGGAUCCUUGAUCCAAAGAGUGGAAAGGUCAGAGUCUGCAACACAGUAUACUUUGACGAAAGGCAAAAGCCAAGUAAAUAUGAAGUGCCAAAAGUUUUUCCGGGAAUCCAGAAGACUAAAGAGCCCUGCGAUUGGGCUCAAGUGGAUCUGCAAUCAAACGAUCAUCCCAAGGAACCAGUGGCAGAUUCAGAAGGGGCUGUGUGACCUGAACUGAGACGCUCACAGAGGACCAACAAAGGGUUUCCACCCCAAAGACUCUCACUCAUGGUGAAAGGAGGAGAGACACAAGAACCCACCACAUGGCAAGACAUAGAAAGACUGCCAACAGAGGAAGCUGAGAAGUGGAGAAAGGCAGAAAAGGAAGAAAUGGAUUCCCUGCAAGAAAAUGAGACUUGGAGACUUGUGGAACUACCCGCUGAAAGAAAGACCGUGGGAUGCAAAUGGGUCUUCAAAGUCAAGCAGGAUGCAGAAGGGGAUAUACAGUGCUACAAAGCCAGACUAGUAGCCAAAGGAUAUCCCCAAAUCUACGGUCAGGACUACGAUGAGACUUUUGAGCCAGUUGUGAAGCAUACUUCAAUUAGAACAUUGCUCAGAGUGGCAGCAGCUCAAGGGAUGCAGGUUGAACACUUGGAUGUAAAGACUGCCUUCCUACAUGGGGAAAUCGAGGAAGACAUCUACAUGCAACAGCCACCCGGCUUUGAAGAACCUGGAAAGAAAGUGCUGGUGUGCAAACUACGAAAGAGCAUCUACGGCUUAAAGCAAGCCACCAGAGUGUAGAAUGAGAAACUGAAUCAACUGCUACUUAAGGACGGAUUCACACAAGGAAAAGCCGAUCCCUGCCAAUAUUCUAGGUUCAGAGAAAAUAGAUGGACCUACUUCCUGACCUACGUUGAUGACCUGAUUCUUGCACAUGAGGAAGAGCAGGAUAGUACAGUCAUGAAAUUGUACAGCACCUGAACAAGGAGAUAGAGGUGAAAGAGCUCGGAAACAUCUCUUAUUACAUCGGUAUCCAAAUAGAGAGCGAAGAGAAUGGGGCAUUCCUUCUCAACCAAAAACAGAAGAUAAAGGAUCUUCUAGAAUGUCUGGGGCUGAUAGACACCAAUGAAGUCAGUACACCAAUGAAUGCUAAUUUUUGGAAGCAGGAUGCCUUUACCAACCGACAAUCAAUACAGAACAGCAAUUGGCAAACUUCUAUACAUAGCCACAGUGACAAGGCCAGACAGCGCCUCAGCAGUGGGGAUCCUGAGUAGAAAAGUAAGCUCACCAACAAACAAGGACUGGAUAGCAGUCAAGAGACCGGGAAGGUACUGAAAGGUAUUGCACACUAUGCAUUGGAGAUUCCAGCAAAAAGCAAUCCCAAACUCGAUAUGUGGAUGCAGACUGGGACAAAGACAGAACAGACUGCAAGUCCACAACUUGACACCUAUUCUUGUAUAGUGGUGGAGCCAUAGCCUGGAGUAGUUGCAAGCAGUCACUUGUUGCGCAAUCAUCUACAGAAGCAGAGUAUAUUUCAGUAAGCAAGGCAUGCAGACAAGUGGUGUGGAUACAACAACUACUAUUGGACCUUGGGAUCGAAGAACCAAAGCCCAUGGUGAUGUUUGAGGAUAACCAAAGUUGUAUCCAGAUCUCUCAAAUGGAGAAAUUGAAAUCUCGAACAAAGCAUAUUCCCAUAAAGUACCACUAUGUUUGAGACUUGCAAGAGAAAGCAGUGGUACAGUUGAGGUACUGCCCUACAGAAGAGAUGCUGGCAGAUGGAUUAACCAAGCCAUUGUCCAGAGGCAGAUUCCAGAUGCUUCAAGAGAAUAUGGGAGUCGUGAUCCUGUGCGACAGGCGAUGAGAAGGGGUGUUGGUGAUGGAGUUCCAGUACAUCGACCUUUUGCACCAACUAUCCUAAUGACCACUAGGGGCAUUGGGAGUAGAGGUGGUGAGUGAGGGUCUCCUUACCUGUCUCUGCUCUAUGACCCCAGGACUGACUCUUCAGCAUUUCCUGUGCUGAGUCACAAUCCUUCCCUUCCUCCUAGAGAGGAAGGAUCACUGGUUUGUGUUCCAAUUUGGAAUUGUACAACAACAUUUAAUGCAGGUCUAACAACCCCGGAUCCACCAAGCCAAGUGUCAUCAUGUACGUUGGCCCACCCGGCCUCAAUGAACCUCCUGUCUUGGCUGCUGUCUUUGACUCAGCAGAUCCCCAUUUCUGUCAUCCUGAUUCCAUCCCUUCGGUCUUGUGUUCUAGAGAGCAAUCGUGCAGGAUCUGCAAAGCUUUUGCUCAAAUUCCAAGCACAGUGGUCUCACCCUACAGACACUCCUGAAGGCUUCUGCACUCCUUUCAAAAACAAUUGACCAUAUGGCAUGGAGGGCUUUUGUUCAAUCCAGUUUUCUCUUGGAUGUGCAAAAGUAUUUGCAUGGUUUUUUUGAUGUUCAGCACAGUUCAGUUUUCAACUUAAAUUUGAAUGAAACCCAUUUCAAAUCUAACAUAUGGACCCACUCCGCUCCAUCCUGGCAGCAUAAGCAUACAUCCCCACACCCAUAUUACGAUAUUAUUUUCUAAUACUGUAUUAGAAAAGCCUCUUGCAACCAUUAGGGAGGGAUCCAUUUCUGCAAGAGAGACCCAUAAAAUAUGUCCCCACUUUCCUAUUGGUCCCCUGUGUGCCCCUGCACCAUGCUGAAGUAGCUCCCAUGCGGCAAAGCAUGUUUGUGUGACUGCAGCCUUGGAUGAGGAGGGGAUCCACUCUGCUGAGGGGAGGGGGUGUCCAGUCCUGAGAAAGCCCACUCCCUCUCUCUGAACCACCAUUUCACUGACUCAUGACAGGCAAGAAGAGAGAUCUUCUUAAUCUUCUUUUCUCUUAGCAGCUACAACAAUUGUGCAGGUGAACAAACGUUAUGAAGAAUCCUAGAAAGCCAAGGUAACGGGGUGAGGGGCACCCCACAUGUCAGCUUGGGAAGUUGACAUAAGAAAAUAAACGUGUCUGAUGUAGAGGAUUUAUUUAUUGUUAUUGUUAUUGUUCAAUACCACCUUUCAUUAAGACAUUUCCAGCCCCUCUUCUUUUCAGAUGACCUCGUGUUGGAAGACUUUAAUGAGGAGUAGGAGUUUGGUCAAUGUAUGAGCAUCAGAAAUCAGAGAGUGGAAGCAAUUGUAUAGCCAUUUGAGCGAGGACUCAAUGAUUGGUUGUUUUGUUUUCUGUUUUGUUUUUUCGAGUGAAAGAGAUACGUCUGAUUCAGUGCUUAAGAAAGGGAAAAAAUGUGUCCAGAGCAUAAGAGCUAAACAAAGGUCAGUGCAGGGAAUUGUCCAAGACGUGUUCUCUAGCUGACUGUAUUUCCCUUGGAAAUGUGAUCUUUAUAACCCUUCCAGAAAACCACAAUCUAUCAGGGAGAGGUAUUAAGAAGCCGCUUUUUCAAGAACCCCAAACCAGUACAAUAAGUCAGAUGGAAGAGAUCUGGUUUUGCCUGGUUUUAAGAACUGACCUUCUGGAGUUGCUUCUUGUUGGUGUUGGGUGGAGUUGUUUCAGAGAAUUGGAAUGAAAAGGGAGAGCCUGUAUUUGCUGCUUAUGUGUCUGAUGCACAACUGUGCUUGUGGUUGGUUGGUGGAUUGGAUAUUUUUGUAUGUCACCAGUUGGAAAGAAAGUCACUUUUGCUGCAUUAUAUUUACUGGCCAGGAUCCUGUUACUUUCUUUCUUUUAUGACAGACUAGAACUCAGGUCUUUCCUUGGAUAGGAUAACAGCCCAAAUUCCAAAAGAGCCACCCCAGUUGCUAGAACAAAGAUCUCUCACUAGGAUUAUUGAAUGUAGGUACAAAGAAGCUCGGCCUUUCAGGUUAGUAAUGAUGAAGUAAUAUGUCUUCCCAAAUGCACACUGUUCUGAGGGUUGCAAUUUUAUGUUUUGUCUCCCCCCAGUGUUAAAGCAGUGGUGUUUGUCAAUGUUAAAGGGGCUCCCAUAUGGAAGCCCUGACACCUUCCGUGCACGCAUAAGGACAGGAGCUCUGGUUUGUGUUCUAAUACCGAAUUGUACACAAACAUUUAAUGGAGGUCUAAACGACCCAGGAUUCACCAGCCCAGUGCCAUCGUGUACAUCGGCCUACCAGGCCUUAUUGAACCUCCUGUCUUGGCUGCUUGCCUGCUGAAGGCCAUAAUCCAUGGCUGGUGAGCUGUGUUUGACUUGGCAGAUCCCCAUUUCUGUCAUCCUGAUUCUAUGCAUUCUGUCUUGUAUUCCAGACAACAAUCAUGUGCAGGAUCUGCAAAGCUUUUGCUCAAAUUCCAAGCACAGUGGUCUCGCCCUACAGACACUCCUGCUGGCUUCUGCACUCCUUUCAAAAUAAUGUUACCACAUGGCAUGGGAGGCUUUUGUCCAGUCCAGUUUUCCCUUGGAUGUGCAAAGCAGCAUAACCAUACAUCCCCAAACCCAGUCUGACGUUUGGCACUAUCACGUGUUUGGACCCAUAGUGUACAUAAGGUCCAUAGUUUACAUAAGAAAAUAUGAAUGUCUGAGCUAUACUCUGAUGAGGCCUCUCUUGAUGCUGUCAAAUUCAGGGAAAAUUUUCAAGGCACGGCUGCAUCUUGCUGCUUAGACACUGAAUAGUUUUGGAGUGAGAUUCUGGCUGAGCCACGAAACCUGCCUGGCCUCAUUAGGAAAUAGCCUAACUCCCCUAAAUGCUUACCUGGAGUCACCAAUGGAUGAUGGAUGAUGGAGAACAAACUGAGGCUGAAUCCAAGGAAGAUGUAGGUACUCAUUGUGGAAGGUUGGAACACAGGAAGUGGCUUUGCUCUGCCUGUUCUGGAUGGGGUUACACUCUUCCAGAAAGAUCAGAGUUCUGCAGCCAAUUGAAAAUUAAGACCACAGGACUUGGUCUCAGUCAAGAGAUCAAAGGACUCCACCUAAAGCUCUGUCUCAUCGGUACUGAUUCAUUCAAUAUUGAUGUCUAUACUACCCUCCACACUUCUGGCACCACCUGACACCUCAAGCCUUAGGGAUACACAGGAAGUGCAUCUCCUUACACUGGCCCAAACUUUGGUACCAGACACUCAACCACCUAAGCAGCCGGACAUUGAGUCUCUACCACUAGAUUCUUCUGCUGAAUAAUCCGCCUCAGAGGAAGAUGCAGAAACAUCUCCGGACAUUGCAUCGGGUUCCACACCUUCAGAUCUAAUUGAAGACCCUAAACCUCCAUCUUCAUCGAAGGACCUGAAGCUCUUAACUGACCAAGUGGUCCGUAUGGCUACCUCUUCAGAUACCCAGAUUAACGGACCUCCUAAAUCUUCUCCUGAUCCCAUUUUUGGGCCAAUUGAUGCUGGCACCUGGUACUCCAUCUUUCUACCACUUAACUCUGCUUUAAUGGACAUUGUCAAAGCUUGCUGGGGGAAACCUGCAUUGUUGACACCUACCUCUAGCAAAUGGGAAGGUUUUUACAAGGUUCAAGCCAGGGACAGUCAGUUCCUUCUGCGCCCUCCUACAGCCAACUCCAUUAUAGUUGAAGCUGUUCCGUUCCAUUCAAAGAACAGAUUCCUUUUGGCUCCAUCUGACAGAGAAGGCCAAAAGUUAGAUGCCCUUGAGCACCAUACUCAACAUCCACACUACAUUUAAAAAUUGCAAACUACCAGGCCUGUAUGGCCCAUCAUAAUUUCUUUUUAUGUGGAAAGAUGGCACCUUGAAUUCAUCCCACAAGGCCAAAGGGAUACUGCUUUAGUUUACCACAAGGAGGCCAGUCACCUUUCCAAACAGAUCCUCGAUACCUCUCACCACGCAAAUGUCCACUGCGGUAACUCUGUGCCGGCACAUGUGGAUGCGUUCAACUACCUUAGCACCUGAAACAAGCACAAGGAUAGGUUAUUUACCUUUAGAUGGCCAGGCCCUUGUUGGAAAGGAUACAAAAUGUAAAGGAUACAAAAACUGAGAAAUAUGGUGAGACCAAUGACUUCCCAACAACCUGCCUACAAUUUUUGGAAGGGUAACAAAUCCUCCUGCUCUUCUCCUGCAACAUCAUUUCCUCCUUCCAGCUACUGUCAAUCAACCAGCCAUUCCCUUCAUCCUUCCAGGACCUCACAACUUCAAAAAAGAUAGGACUCAUUGGGAAAAUCAGAACACUCCACAUAAGAACAGCCCUGCUGGAUCAGGCCCAUGGCCCAUCUAGUCCAGAAUCCUGUUUCACACAGUGGCCCACCAGACAUCCAAACCAUCAGUGUGUAGCAGGUGCUCAUAACUCAAGCAGCUGCAAAUAUUCUUCCUCACAGCAAUGAUGUGGACUUGGGGAUUUUUAUUCAAGGCUACAAGACAGAUAUUUCCCCAACAUUUCAGAAGGCAGGAUUACCACUAACAGGGGCAUUCUUUCCCACGGACCUGGGGGAGCAGGUCCAUGGCCUCACAGCCUGGAUCUUUUAGAUGCAGAGGGGGGAAUGGGUAAAUAAAUACAUGGGAUGGGAAUAUGUUAGAUUGUGUGUUGCAAUGUUUCUGCUAAUGCAUAUUUGCUUAAAUAUACUUGUUUUACAUUAUUA